UAGACGUCCCCGCCGGCAAAGAUGCCCUCAGGGAAAUCUUGCUGCUCUCCCUUUGACCUAAUGGUUGGAAGAGACUUUGAUUUAAGAAUUGAGAAUGCUGUAGAGGGCAUUGAGGAGAUUCAUUUCUAUGGCUCUGGGAAUUGAGAUUGUUUUGAGCCAGAGGCAGUUGGGGAUUCUUUGUAAAUUUUCUUAGCCCAUAAUCUGGGUCCCCUUAAUUAUCUGUGUUUGGGUGGUUAACAACUUUAUAUUAUUAUUCAUAAAUAAUGUUGCAUGAUUUCUUCUUAGAUAUGUAUAUGCUAGUUAGCAUCCUUUGGCAUCAUUUGGAAGAAA
rnacentral:misc_RNA from 1 species